rnacentral:misc_RNA from 1 species
UGUAAUUGAACAUGCCAGAAAAUAAAAAAUAAAAAAGAGGAUAAAAAAGGAAUUUGAGGAAAUGAAAACCUAAGCUCAUGCAAAGCACGUGGCGAGACUCCGGAGGAUCCAUUCUGCUCUUCCUCCAGCACACACGGCGGCUUAGAUCUCGACCGUCCCCGCUAUAUGUCAUUACUUUCCGCUUCUGGCAUCUCGUUCAAGUCAAAAACUCCAGUCUCCUCUACAAUUGGCCUCCUUUCCGGUACCUCCUCUUUCUUCUUCUCCAUCUCGUCCUUCUCAUCCUCACCAGCACCCACCGCCGCCACCACCUCGGCCUCUACGGCAGCUCGCCACCCUUCACCAUUCCCUUUCUCGAAAUACUUGACAGCUACCUGGAUACUCCGAAGGAUAGCAAAGAAUUCCUCGACUUCCUCCUC